rnacentral:rRNA from 1 species
UGCUAGAAGAUGACGAGUGGCGGACGGGUGAGUAAUGCUUGGGAACUUGCCUUUGCGAGGGGGAUAACAGUUGGAAACGACUGCUAAUACCGCAUAAUGUCUUCGGACCAAACGGGGCUUCGGCUCCGGCGCAAAGAGAGGCCCAAGUGAGAUUAGCUAGUUGGUAAGGUAAUGGCUUACCAAGGCGACGAUCUCUAGCUGUUCUGAGAGGAAGAUCAGCCACACUGGGACUGAGACACGGCCCAGACUCCUACGGGAGGCAGCAGUGGGGAAUAUUGCACAAUGGGGGAAACCCUGAUGCAGCCAUGCCGCGUGUGUGAAGAAGGCCUUCGGGUUGUAAAGCACUUUCAGUUGUGAGGAAAAGUUAGUAGUUAAUACCUGCUAGCCGUGACGUUAACAACAGAAGAAGCACCGGCUAACUCCGUGCCAGCAGCCGCGGUAAUACGGAGGGUGCGAGCGUUAAUCGGAAUUACUGGGCGUAAAGCGCACGCAGGCGGUUUGUUAAGCUAGAUGUGAAAGCCCCGGGCUCAACCUGGGAUGGUCAUUUAGAACUGGCAGACUAGAGUCUUGGAGAGGGGAGUGGAAUUCCAGGUGUAGCG